rnacentral:rRNA from 1 species
AGCAGCCGCGGUAAUUCCAGCUCCAAUAGCGUAUAUUAAAGUUGUUGCAGUUAAAAAGCUCGUAGUUGAAUUUCGGGAUUUGUCAGUUGGUCGGGCUUCACUGUCCGCACUAACUUGAUGGAUUCUUACCUUCUGAAUAACCAGCAUGCUAUUUAGUUAGUGCGUUGGGGAAGCAGAUCUAUUACCUUGAAAAAAUUAGAGUGCUUAAAGCGGGCUAGUGCUUGAAUAGAUUAGCAUGGAAUAAUAAAAUAGGACGGCAUGGUUCUAUUUUGUUGGUUUCUAGGAUCACCGUAAUGAUUAAUAGGGAUAGUUGGGGGCAUUAGUAUUCAAUUGUCAGAGGUGAAAUUCUUGGAUUUAUUGAAGACUAACUUCUGCGAAAGCAUUUGCCAAGGAUGUUUUCAUUAAUCAAGAACGAAAGUUAGGGGAUCGAAGACGAUCAGAUACCGUCGUAGUCUUAACCAUAAACUAUGCCGACUAGGAAUCGGACGAAGUUAAUUUUAUAAUGACUCG